AAGUGGGAUGGGAUCAGUAAUUAAAAGGUGAAUAUUAUCCUGAUCCUGGCAGUGUUUGCUAUAGGAAGCCAUUGCUUCCUCUGGGAAGAAUUCUUAAGACUGGUGAUGACUGUAAGAAGGAUGGGGACAAAGAACAAAGGAGGGAUAAUCCCAGACUGUACCUCAUGCUUACAGGCAAGGAAGAGAACCCGAAUCCAGGAAGCCAGGGUUCCACAUGUUCUCCAGAGAUAUCCAAGCGGACAAUAUGGCAGCCUCUUCCCAAAAUUGGUCCAGGUUGUAAGUCUUAACCUUGAGACCACAAGUAACCAGGAGAGUUUUCAGAGCCCCAAUCAGGGGUUCCUUGGUGGUAAAGGGGGAGAACCCAUGAUGACAAGCACAAAAGAAACAAAUGAUGAACAUAUGUGACAAAUAUGACAGAAGAAGUGAUGAAAGCCAUGGUGUACUAAGCAGGGGCCUCCCUCAGGUGUAGCUCACAGGUCUUAUGCCUAGAUGGUGUACCCAAGGAAGGAAAAGGCAUUUGGGAGCCAAUCCCUGGUACCAAAACAUGGAAAACCAGUUCCUAUAUCAGAUACCAGGACAAAUCCAGACCAAAAGUGAAAAACAUUCAAAGACAAAGAAGACAGAAAAGAUGGCACCACAGUAAGACCACGCAAAGACAAAGAAGGACAAUAAUGGCCACUGCACACUCACUGCAUGCUGGCUACAUGCUUGCCACAGCAUGCUCACUCAAAAAUGAAGAAAAACAAAAAGAUGGCUACUGCAAAGCUUACUGCACGCUCACCUCACGUGCACCUCAUGCUCCUCUCAUGCUCACCUCACUCUUGUGUCACACUAGUUGCAUGCUUACCUCAUGCUCACUCUUGAACAGAACUGAGAACAAAGGCAAGAUUACUUGGGUGGACAGAAAAGACAAAGAAGUCAGAAAUGAGGUCCAAGCUCUCACCUUCACAGAACCCAGAACAUAAAACACUAAGGGUACAACUCACUGAAGAAGCAACUGAAGGGAGCACAACACCAGCACAGCGAGAAGAGCAGAUCAGGCCAAACCAAGAGCACAGUCCUUGCAGCAACAGGCAAAAUGAGCCACCAGAAAAAGGAGGUUUGCAAGCAGCCACAAAAUGAGAAUAAUGAAGUAGUCCAUCGACCACGUUGGGUGCCAGAUAUGGCUUGUGCUCUGGACAGCUCUCUGACAGACCCUACCUGCUCUUGGGGUUUCAGGACGAUUGGCAC
rnacentral:lncRNA from 1 species